rnacentral:tRNA from 1 species
UCCAGGGUAGCCUAGUGGACAUGGCAUCUGCCCGGUAAACGGAAGGUCGUGGGUUCGAUUCCCGCCCCUGGAC